GUUUUACCAUUUCAUUACAUAAAUCUACAGUGUGAUAAUUUGAAUGUGUUGCCACCCCAGAAAUUAUUAUCCCUGACCCUGCUUGCCACCCCGUGAUUUUUUUUCGAGAUCCGCCCUGCUUUCACUUGAGUUACCUGAUUAAAAUUUUCUAAGGCUGACAACGAAUCUGAAGUUAAGUAUUUUCCUCUCUUACGCACCUGUCUCCUUCUUAGGUGUGCAGAGCUUUCACUUUUUCAUGUGACAAAGAACCUGAGCAUAAAACUGCUCUAAGUGCUUCAUAAGCUCUACCCACUGCAUCACAGCCGCUAAAGCAGCGGAGCGGAUCUGAACGCACUGAAAAAUGAUCCGAAACUCUUGCAGAAAUGUCAAUGUCAAAUUCUGCUCUCAUAUUAUGCCACUUUUAUCCGGUUGCUUUAAACGUACCUAUAAUAGUUUUCUUAUCCACAUUCUUUACCCAGGAAUGGUGAGCGGGGCAGGGGUUUUCUUCACGCUGAUUGGUUCUCGGAGUGUCAUGUGACCAGAAGUGAUAAUAGGGUAGCAUGAUCGCUCGCCUGGUGUUGUUGUUUGUUGUGGUGGUGGUUUCUCUCUAAAUGAAGGCUUUUUAAAAUGUCUGAAACCACUUAUUUAACGUUACCGACAUGGGCUGUUGGCUCCUUGAAUAUUCGUUUUAUUUAUCUGGUGAAUAAUACAUCAUUCAGGUUAUCUGAGUGCCCCAACAAGGAUUCCUCCGUCCCUCUGUAUUUGGGAGCUGACCUGCUGUCUAACACUGACAUCCGCACAGAAAACCACCCCCGAUGCCACGCCAAGUUUGCCAAGAAAGGCCUCGCUACAAAACUACACUUCCCCUCUGUUUAUAGGUUUCAUGGCAUAAGACUGCCGACAUCAAACAACAGCCUGUGGUUCUACAGUGUCCAGGGACUUUUCCGAAUCGCCUUUGAGCUGUUUGAGAAGCACGAUCAGCUUUCUGUACUGGAGAAGUUUCAGGACAUCUGGAAAUCCCACAUCGACGACGACCCUCUACAAAUGGGCUACAACCUCAGCGAGCGGUCGGACUUCGCCUCGAUCAGCGCGGAACCAAGGAGUGAAACCUCAGAGUCUCCGCAGGACACGAGAGACAACUCCAAAGACCACGAGUACCGUCCUCAUCCGCGGGACAGCCCUGCAGAAGAAGCGCCGGACGCUUUAGCUUCGCUUCGUCACAAAGUGCAGAAGAUGAGCGACGGACUUCCCCAGAUCCAACCGGAGAAACUCAAAACGAUUGAAAUACUAUUAGACUUCAUCGACAGCUACGCGCAGGGCGAUCUGAGUGACGCCGCGGCGACGGACGCGGUGAUGGCGCUGCUCCAGGCCAAACAAUGGGACGGCGUCUACUCCAGUUCUUUGCUCCUCGGUAUCGGACGUUGGCUCGGGCGCCAGUUCCACGAAGCGAACGGCAGCGUGAGCCAGAAAGUGGAGGGAUUUAAAGUGCAGCACAUCGAGCGCAUCAGCGACUUGCCCCCGGCCGAGGAGCUCACCAAGGAGCUGUUUCCAGAAGCCAUGCUGAGUCUGCUGCUCCACUGGAUGGGCCUGAGCGAGGACUCGAGUGCGGACAAGAGGAGCAGCGAGUACCCCAUUCUACUCCUCAUACUGGAGUUCGCUAAUCAUAAUCUCAUCACCGGGGUGGCCCACGUGCUGUAUUCCAGUUUGAUAUGUAAAUGA
ensembl:lncRNA